rnacentral:rRNA from 1 species
GACGAACGCUGGCGGCGUGCUUAACACAUGCAAGUCGAGCGAUGAAGUUCCUUCGGGAACGGAUUAGCGGCGGACGGGUGAGUAACACGUGGGUAACCUGCCUCAUAGAGGGGAAUAGCCUUCCGAAAGGAAGAUUAAUACCGCAUAAGAUUGUAGUAUUGCAUGAUACAGCAAUUAAAGGAGCAAUCCGCAAUGAGAUGGACCCGCGUCGCAUUAGCUAGUUGGUGAGGUAACGGCUCACCAAGGCGACGAUGCGUAGCCGACCUGAGAGGGUGAUCGGCCACAUUGGGACUGAGACACGGCCCAGACUCCUACGGGAGGCAGCAGUGGGGAAUAUUGCACAAUGGGGGAAACCCUGAUGCAGCAACGCCGCGUGAGUGAUGACGGUCUUCGGAUUGUAAAACUCUGUCUUCAGGGACGAUAAUGACGGUACCUGAGGAGGAAGCCACGGCUAACUACGUGCCAGCAGCCGCAGUAAACA